UACGUAGGCAGCAAGCGUUGUUCGGAAUUACUGGGCGUAAAGAGUGCGUAGGCGGUCUUUUAAGUUUGGUGUGAAAUCUCCCGGCUCAACUGGGAGGGUGCGCCGAAAACUGGGAGGCUUGAGGAUGGGAGAGGCAUGCGGAAUUCCUGGUGUAGCGGUGAAAUGCGUAGAUAUCAGGAGGAACACCUGCGGUGUAGACAGCAUGCUGGACCAUUUCUGACGCUGAGGCACGAAAGCGUGGGUAGCAAACAGG
rnacentral:rRNA from 1 species